GCUGCACUUCGCCGGGCUAGAGGAGGUUCCACACGAUACUAGCUGCAAAAACUGUGUUUGACGGUGGUGGUGUAAACUCGCCCAACCUAACCUGUUGGAAGUCUAUGUAAAUCAAGACACGCUCAGACAAGUGGCCCAGAAUGGCGGGAGGAAAAAAAAGUGACGUGUGAUGUUUGUGAGUGGAAUUAUAUUCCGUAAGUUGGUAAUUCAUAGGAAACGGUGAAAUUUGUUGCUUAGCAACAACGAGUAAACAACGGUUGCUAAGCAAUGACGUUUGCGUUGUCACACUUGCUUGACUGUGGGCAGUUCCCACAUCAGGAAUGGAUGUCUGCAUUAUAGAAGUUUGAUAGUUGUGAGGAACAUCAAAGGUUAUAUAUGAUACAGUUUUGAAUGUAAGGAUGUUGUGUAAAGUGUGUGAGGUUGGAGGUUUUGGGUGCAGGGGGGAGGAGUGGAUUUGAUUCUACAUACGUGGUAUGUGCCUACUGUUCAGGAGAAUCCAUGUCUUUCCAGAUAACAUUAUGGGUGUGAAUAUGUGAGUUCCGUUUAUGUGCUGGCACCAUGAUCUUCAGGUAAGAAUGAAAUAACUACUUGUGUUGUACAUGACUGGAGGCUGAAUGUGGUAAAUUACGUAUUUAGAAAGACAAAAAGAAAGUAUGGUCAAAACCAUGUGUUCAUCUCUCAGGAAACCAGGGCAGUGUGUGGAAGACUGAUAAUUUAACUCCAAGAUUAUGUGCAGUUCCCUAGACCUCCAGUGUUACUUAUCAAAUGUAAACCAGGCCAGUCUUCAGGAAUACUAAGUACUGUGAAGUAUAGAGUUUUGUAAGUUUUAUGCCCUUGGGAAUUUUGAAGAGUUGGAUGUGUGCAAAAUGUUUCUGACAGCAUGAGCCUGCAGUGUCUUGGGCAUUAACCCCCCAAGUGUGUGCGACGCACCAUGUGCGUCCGCUGAGUUACAUGCAUAUAGCGUGCAUUUAUGCGGGGGUAUUUAAAUCCCUCCCGGUGCUUUAUUUUCGCAAGCGUUGAAGGUUUUGU